rnacentral:rRNA from 1 species
AGUGAACGCUGGCGGUAGGCCUAACACAUGCAAGUCGAACGGCAGCACAGUAAGAGCUUGCUCUUACGGGUGGCGAGUGGCGGACGGGUGAGGAAUACAUCGGAAUCUACUUUUUCGUGGGGGAUAACGUAGGGAAACUUACGCUAAUACCGCAUACGACCUACGGGUGAAAGCAGUGGAUCUUCGGACCUUGCGCGAUUGAAUGAGCCGAUGUCGGAUUAGCUAGUUGGCGGGGUAAAGGCCCACCAAGGCGACGAUCCGUAGCUGGUCUGAGAGGAUGAUCAGCCACACGGGAACUGAGACACGGUCGAGACUCCUACGGGAGGCAGCAGUGGGGAAUAUGGGACAAUGGGCGCAAGCCUGAUCCAGCCAUACCGCGUGGGUGAAGAAGGCAUUCGGGUUGUAAAGCCCUUUUGUUGGGGAAGAAAAGCAGCAGGUUAAUACCCGGCUGUUCUGACGGUACCCAAAGAAUAAGCACCGGCUAACUUCGUG